CGUUAUAGUUUGUUGUCGAAUAACCCACGUCCGGAAGUUUAGGUGCGUAUGAAUCAAAUCACGAGUGCGAAGCACGAGAAUUGCUCAUUGCACAGCGUAUAAAAGCUCGUAAACAGAUGGUAGCUUUCUUAUUUGAGAAAACCAAUCGAAGCAUUCGUUGGACUUGAAGACAGGGAAAGUUUCAAAACAUGGAUAGCAAAACGUUUAUUAUGUUUUUGGUCGUAUGCUGGACGUUUGUUACAUUGUCGCGUUUGACAGAUGCGCGCGCAGCGUACUUCGAUGAUAUAUUUGAUGACAAUCAUUCGCUUCAAAAACGCAGCCCUCUGGCCGGGGCACUGGACACGUCGACAUUUCAACUGAUGAGGUACUGCCUAACACGAGGAAGAUUUGACCCUGUCUGUCGACCUCCUGGCCGCGAUAUCAUCGUCGUGAAGUACGAAUAGCGCCCGCAAACAAACGGACGCACACCUGCUGGAAUAUAUAUCAAGGGCGACAGCUUCGUAGAUUGGCCAAUACAUGAGCAAUCGUCAUUAGAUACUUAUCGUUUAGUUUUGCAUUUACUGAUUCGCCUACAGCAAAUACGAUAUAUGAUAUACACCGUCAUGAAAUAUGUGAUGUAAUUAGUUAUGUGCUGGUUCAUUUACAUUUACCAUAGCGGUCUAUACUGGUUUAAAACAAACAAAAGCAAGAAGUAUGGCCUACAGUAAGGAGUGAUUUUGGUAUUCAAUAUAAGCUAUGUUGGUUGAUAGAUUGAAUGAAAUAAAUAACGGUUUUAAACCCUUGCAUCAGUUUAAAUAUAAAAAUACGCGGUAAAUUAUAAACAGUAUUGAUUUAAAAACAGGAAAUAUUCAGAUAAUAAAACAAUUAAACAUUAA